GAUGAACGCUGGCGGCGUGCCUAAUACAUGCAAGUCGAGCGAACGGACGAGAAGCUUGCUUCUCUGAUGUUAGCGGCGGACGGGUGAGUAACACGUGGAUAACCUACCUAUAAGACUGGGAUAACUUCGGGAAACCGUAGCUAAUACCGGAUAAUAUUUUGAACCGCAUGGUUCAAAAGUGAAAGACGGUCUUGCUGUCACUUAUAGAUGGAUCCGCGCUGCAUUAGCUAGUUGGUAAGGUAACGGCUUACCAAGGCAACGAUGCAUAGCCGACCUGAGAGAGUGAUCGGCCACACUGGAGCUGAGACACGGUCCAGACUCCUACGGGAGGCAGCAGUAGGGAAUCUUCCGCAAUGGGCGAAAGCCUGACGGAGCAACGCCGCGUGAGUGAUGAAGGUCUUCGGAUCGUAAAACUCUGUUAUUAGGGAAGAACAUAUGUGUAAGUAACUGUGCACAUCUUGACGGUACCUAAUCAGAAAGCCACGGCUAACUACGUG
rnacentral:rRNA from 1 species